rnacentral:rRNA from 1 species
AUUGAACGCUGGCGGCAGGCCUAACACAUGCAAGUCGAACGAGUGGCGGACGGGUGAGUCAUGUCUCGGAACCUGCCUGAUGGCGGGGGAUAACUCCUGGAAACGGUGGCUAAUACCGCAUACCAUCGGAUGUGCCCAGAUGGGAUUAGCUAGUAGGUGGGGUAAAGGCUCACCUAGGCAACGAUCCCUAGCUGGUCUGAGAGGAUGACCAGCCAAACUGGGACUGAGACACGGCCCAGACUCCUACGGGAGGCAGCAGUGGGGAAUAUUGCACAAUGGGCGCAAGCCUGAUGCAGCCAUGCCGCGUGUAUGAUGAAGGCCUUCGGGUUGUAAAGUACUUUCAGCAGGGAGGCGUUACCUGCAGAAUAAGCACCGGCUAACUCCGUGCCAGCAGCCGCGGUAAUAC